rnacentral:lncRNA from 1 species
AACAAAAGAUUUUCUUUCAAUAUUAACAGAUUCAAUACAAGAACCAUUCGAAAAUAUAUAUACUAUCAGGGGCUCUAACACCAAAUCGGAGAAUCAAAUCUAAAACCUAAGGUGACUCUUUCUUUUUUUUUUCUUUACUGUUUUGAGUUUAUUUUCUACAUAAAAAUACUAAAAAAUAUUAAAACAUAAAAAUAUAUGCAUUAUUAAGCAAAAAAAAA